CGAUGAUGAAUGCAGCAGAAAGACUCUAAAACCCUUCGAGUGUUACAAUGAGGACCUUAAGCUUUUCCCUUACCUUCAUCCUCCAGUUGUCUUUGACCCCAAAGCCUUAUGUUGCAGGAGUGGACUGGGAAACUCAGAAUGUGGCAUUUGAGUCCAAUACAACUGAUAGGUACAUACUGCCACCAACUGAAAAGACUCCACAGGACCUUGUCUCCUCACUAACAUACUCAGAUACUGCAUUAUCCAGUGCUGAUUUACAUGAGCAUGUCAAGCCACAGAAAGCCUGUGCAGUGCCCAAUAGUGCCAAGUUGUGGCCCGUGAAAGCCCUUAUCAUGUCUGAGUCACAUUGUAGGCUGUUUGGAAAUGUCAGUGUUAGCCAUAUUAUACCAAGGAGGUACUGUGAAAGUGGUUUGAAAAUGAUUUGGUCCCUCUUUCAAUCAGAAGCUACUCGUUUGGUGGUGAAAGUAAUAACACCUUUAUUAGAGGUUGUCACAAUGUCUUUACACUUGUUCUCUAGUCUUUUUAAGACAGUUACACCACAAUCAUUUGUCCAGAUUGACUCUGAUAGAAUUGAUCAACACAAUACUGUAUCUGAGGUAAAUAUGUCCUAUGGUCAUCAGAAUAUAGACCACCAGAAUAUAGUGAUCCUGGAGGAUGACCCUGUAGUGAUGGAGUCAGCCUCCUUCCUCUUUGAGAAGCGCCCCUCUGUGUCGACUCUACUGAGGUACCACAAGGGGGCGCUGAAAGUCCUCAGGGGCUCUCAGACCCUUUUGACCAGAGACAGUCGUGUCGUACUGGUGGGUCAUGGCAGCAAGGGCAGUGAUGGUGUGGCCAGACUAGGAGGUUAUGGGCCAGAGGAGCUUGCCAAAGUUGUGGUGGCCAUGAAGAUAGAAGAUGGGCAUCUGCACACCCUCAGCCUGGUGGGCUGUGCACUAGGAAAGGACCUCAAGUUUGCAGAGCGGCUGCUUCAAGCGCUCAUCUCACUCAACGUGGAGACCAAACUGCACCUGAGGAGCUCAGCACUAUCCGUCAGGCCCAACGGAGAGAAGGUGACCAGAGAGGAGGGGGUCUGGAGGCAUAAAGACGGCAGUAAGAAAGUAAUCGCCCAGCUGGACCAGAACGGUAACCUGCUGACCAGAGUGGAAGGAGACGACAGAGGACAGGUCAUUCCCAACUACCAGGGGCACGCCCUAUACAUACAGACUUUAGAAUGGCCGACCCACCCUCAAAUGUUUGUCUCAGCAAACUUGCGUAAGAAGUACACCUCGAUUGACUGUUUAGAGGGGCUUACAUGGAGCCUGUUUUUUGAGGAAAAUGAAAGAAGGCGCGCUCCAGAUUACAUCCCAGUGCACAAACAGGGGAACCUCACGUCCGUGUGGCUGGCUGACCACAAACCCAUGGAAGACAUACCCAUCAAGCACCUCACCACCAUUCUCGAUCUGCUGGUGGAGAUCAGGUACAAUGCCAGGGAAGACACCGACUUUGACUUGUAUUACGUUCUGAACGACUGCAUCUUUAAGGUGCAGAGGAGAACCUUCUACGCCUCCCUGGUGGGGAAGUACAUUCAUUCUAACCAUCUGGAAGAAAUGGAGAAAUUCACUGAUGCUUUCAGGCACCAGAAGGAGGACUAUUCCCUCCAAGAGCUUAGACAGGGCCUCAAGGCGUCCGAAUUCAACAACUUCUGCCGCCAGACGUUCCAGCUGCAACGAUGUGUCCAGGACUGUGAACGCUGGGGCCACUACUUCAUGGCUGCUGUGUUCUCUGCAUCUGUCCGAAACUUCCGCACAUUCUCACUCUUCCUUAUGAGUGUUAUCGCUUGUGAGGUGGGCCGAUCCCAAGGCUCUGACAGCUCACUCUGUACAGCCUUUGUUGGGGAUGACCACCCUAUGGUAGGGGACGACCCUUGGCUUGAACGCAGUAGACGCGGGUUCUAUGGCUGCACGGUGGGCAAAGCUGAGGAGAUGAUGACCAAACGAGACACACUCGACUGGCUGGAUCAGGUUGUUUCCAAGGAGAAUGCCCUCUUUGCCAAGUCCAAGCAGAUGAUGAGUGGCGUCGACCACGACCAGGAGACAGAGCUUGAUAUCUUUGGGAGGGUCAAGGUCAUGAAUAAAUAUGUGUUUUCAUCUUUCCUUGAAUUCUUUCGAGGAACGCCAGAGGGGAAGAAGCUGGCAAGAGGAUGCAGAGCUUGA
ensembl:lncRNA